GACGAACGCUGGCGGCGUGCUUAACACAUGCAAGUCGAACGGAAAGGCCUGCUUUCCCUUGUGGAUUGCGGGUACUCGAGUGGCGAACGGGUGAGUAACACGUGAGUGAUCUGCCCCCAACUUGGGUAUAAGCCUGGGAAACUGGGUCUAAUUCCCGAUAGGACUGCAGGGUGGUGCCUGUGGUGGAAAACGAUUUUCUAGUGGUUGGGGAUGAGCUCGCGGCCUAUCAGCUUGUUGGUGGGGUAAUGGCCUACCAAGGCGGCGACGGGUAGCCGGCCUGAAAGGGUGGACGGCCACAUUGGGACUGGGAUACGGCCCAGACUCCUACGGGAGGCAGCAGUGGGGAAUAUUACACAAUGGGCGGAAGCCUGAUGCAGCGACGCCGCGUGGGGGAUGACGGCCUUCGGGUUGUAAACUCCUUUCGACCGCGAGGAAGCCACCUGGUUGGAAGGGUGGUGACGGUAGUGGUAGAAGAAGCACCGGCUAACUACGUG
rnacentral:rRNA from 1 species